AACGAACGCUGGCGGCAUGCCUAACACAUGCAAGUCGAACGAGACCUUCGGGUCUAGUGGCGCACGGGUGCGUAACGCGUGGGAACCUGCCCUUAGGUUCGGAAUAACUCCCCGAAAGGGGUGCUAAUACCGGAUAAUGUCUUCGGACCAAAGAUUUAUCGCCUUUGGAUGGGCCCGCGUUGGAUUAGCUUGUUGGUAGGGUAAAAGCCUACCAAGGCGACGAUCCAUAGCUGGUCUGAGAGGAUGAUCAGCCACACUGGGACUGAGACACGGCCCAGACUCCUACGGGAGGCAGCAGUGGGGAAUAUUGGACAAUGGGCGAAAGCCUGAUCCAGCAAGGCCGCGUGAGUGAUGAAGGGCUUAGGGAUGUAAAGCGCUUUUACCCGGGAUGAUAAUGACAGUACCGGGAGAAUAAGCUCCGGCUAACUCCGU
rnacentral:rRNA from 1 species